UUAUUUGUUUUUAUUUGUUAUACGUUCAUUACACAUUGUUUGAAGAUCGGCCCGGAGGCCACAGUUCACAAAGGUUUGAAUAUGUUAAAGUCCGAAGACAUUCACUAAUGAUCCUUCCGCAGGUUCACCUACGGAAA
rnacentral:misc_RNA from 1 species